rnacentral:lncRNA from 1 species
AUGAUAAAAAAAUUGUACAAAAUAUCCACUUGUAACGCAAAAAAAAAAAGCUACUUAAAAAUAUCCAAUAAAAUCAUUAUUCUAUAUAGUAAAUUGCUGAUAAAAAAAAAGUUUACAAGAAUUUAUAGCAUACUUAUUGUUUGCUUUAUUGCGAGGAGAUGGACCAAUAACAACAAAGAUCGAUUAAAAAAAAUACUAAAAACAAAAUAUGGUGGAUCAACCGCUCAACAUGAUACUGUACCAAUUAGUGAAUAUUAUAAAAAUGUUUCUAUUUUAUUAAGUGAUAUUAAAAAAAAACUAAUUAAAAUGCUAGCUAACCAAUAUAAUCCUCGAAUAAUUAAUAUACUAAUAAAAAAUAAAAACAUACAACAAAAAGAUCUGCUACAAAUAUAUGAUCAUUUUAAACACAUAAUGUCAAGUGACGAGUAUUUACAAAUUUUGCAUCAAAGUUGUAAGUCGUUAAAAUAUAAAAGUUUAGGUUACAAUGAUCAUGCUAAAAUAUACUACAACUCGCUGUUAUACUUACUAGAUACAUAUUUCUUUCUUACCAAUAGUAAAAAAGACUUUAAACGAAGCUAUAUACAAGUACAACAGACUAACCAAAAACAACUGUCAUUUAAAAAAAAAGGGAAAUUCAAAUUCAAAGCAAAAUAUUUAAAUAUAUUUAAACUUAGUGCACAAAUAGAUAAACAUUUUAGAACUAAAUUACUUGAAAAAAUGAUAAAAGAAAAAAUAUAUCCAGAUAUGAAAUUACCAUGUAAAGAAAGUCUUAAUUUUUUUGCUUAUACAUUCUAUGUUCCAACAAUAGUAAUGAUAAUUUUAAUUUUCACAAUAUCUACUGCGUCACCUGAUUUUAUAAUCAUGGUACUAAUACUGUAUUUAUGUACAUAUGCGCAAUCCAUGUAUAAAAUUUAUAGAAACAUUAAGUUUAUAAAUCGAAUUAUACAAGGGUCACCACUAUCAAACAGAGAGUAUUUUAUUUAAAAGUAAAAAUAUGUUAAAAACGUGAAAACACAGUGAAAUAUUUUUAGAAUAUAACUUUUUUUUUUUUUUUUUUUUUUUUUUGUUGUUAAAAUAAAUAUGUUAUUUUUUUUUUUUGAUGCUCCA